rnacentral:rRNA from 1 species
UGGGGAAUAUUGCACAAUGGGCGCAAGCCUGAUGCAGCCAUGCCGCGUGUAUGAAGAAGGCCUUCGGGUUGUAAAGUACUUUCAGCAGUGAGGAAGGUGGAUAUGUUAAUAGCAUAUUCAUUUGACGUUAGCUGCAGAAGAAGCACCGGCUAACUCCGUGCCAGCAGCCGCGGUAAUACGGAGGGUGCGAGCGUUAAUCGGAAUUACUGGGCGUAAAGCGCAUGCAGGUGGUUUGUUAAGUCAGAUGUGAAAGCCCGGGGCUCAACCUCGGAAUUGCAUUUGAAACUGGCAAACUAGAGUACUGUAGAGGGGGUAGAAUUUCAGGUGUAGCGGUGAAAUGCGUAGAGAUCUGAAGGAAUACCGGUGGCGAAGGCGGCCCCCUGGACAGAUACUGACACUCAGAUGCGAAAGCGUGGGGAGCAAACAGGAUUAGAUACCCUGGUAG